rnacentral:lncRNA from 1 species
AUUGAGAACGAUGUCUGCACAUUGAAGCCAUGACCACUUUGUGUCUGCUUUAUUCUAGCACAAAACCACCUGGAUGUUGGUAGGUUUUGGGUGUGUACAUUUCAGAGGUAUGUCUAUUAUGUCAUGCUCUGGGGGAACAGAGGAGGGGUCUCCCAUUUACACUUAGCAGAGACCCAUUGCUCCACCCCAAAGAGUGGCAGGGGUGACGGAAGGGGAGCACAGGUUAGCCGAGCACACUGAAUAACCCUGUGCUUUCUCAGCCCAAACCCAUCUGCCCUCCGCAAACCACAGGGUUGGUGGAGCUCAUAUAGAACAGCAAUCAUCCCAUGCAGGAAGUUACCUAAAACAUGUUUGCCACGUCUAAUCUAAAUGUUUGCAUCAUUACAAUGUACAAACAUUACAAUGUUUGUUGAGCCAAAUUAAUAUCUGUAGAUGGCAAAUUCAUUUAAUUUAAGAGCUUUAUUGGGUUUUCUAAGUACUUAAUUUGGGUUCUUAGGUGCCUUUCUGACCUGCUAUUGGCUCAGCCUUUUGGUAUUUUGUUUUUUUCUGGAAGGUUCUUAAUAUGAAAAUCAAAAAAGCCUAAUAGAGGAGUUGAGGCACACACUAGGUAUAUAUCAUACCUAUUUCCAGAGCAAAACUAUAAAGAAUGAUGAAACCCAGGCAAACAGAUCAUCCAGUCAGAUGCUAUCACAGAUGCUAAUUCCCCAGAACCCAAUUUAUUUAUUUAUUUUUUUUGCCUUAAAUGACAUGGUUGUGUUUUUGUAAGGAAAAUUUAAUUUAAUAUAAUUAUGUGCAUUUAACUGAGCAGUUCCAAAAGUCAUGUACGAAAACAAUGCAAUUGUCUGUUUCCUGAAAAACAACUAAAUCAGGAAUAGCACACCCAUUUCAAGCUAUCAUUAAAAUGUAAUUUCCUUUGCUCUUUUACCAAGAUGAUAUGUUUUAAACUAAAACAUUAAAAAGAUGUCUAUAAACAGCU